AGAGUUCGAUUCUGGCUCAGGACGAACGCUGGCGGUGCGCCUUAUGCAUGCAAGUCGAGCGAAGCUUUUCAGUAGUUUACUACAGAAAAUGACUGAGCGGCGAACGGGUGAGUAACGCGUGAGCAAUCUACCUUAGUUACAGGGAUAGCCCGAGGAAACUCGGAUUAAUACCUGAUAUUCUUUACAUUUCGCAUGAAAUCAAAAGGAAAGGUCAGCCGAACUAAGAUGAGCUCGCGUUCUAUCAGCUAGUUGGUGAGGUAAAAGCUCACCAAGGCAACGACGGAUAGCUGGUCUGAGAGGACGAUCAGCCACACUGGGACUGAGACACGGCCCAGACUCCUACGGGAGGCUGCAGCAGGGAAUAUUGCGCAAUGAGCGAAAGCUUGACGCAGCGACACCGCGUGUGGGAUGACGGAUCUAGGUUUGUAAACCACUUUCAGGAGGGAAGAAAAUGACGGUACCUCCACAAGAAGCCCCGGCCAACUACGUGCCAGCAGCCGCGGUAAUAC
rnacentral:rRNA from 1 species